UCCCACAGAAGGUGCACAAAAGGAAACGUGACACCAAGUAACCCAGAUAUUUCAGCCUCCCGCCAAAGAGCUGCCGAAGUGUUUCCACGUCAAGCCUCAGUCUCCGGUGCCGCUGAGAAACAAACGUUACAGCAGAACAGAGCAACAUGAGGAGGCAGCCACCUAUGAGAGAACUGGGUCUUCAGACAAGCACCAUAGCAGUGAAGUUUCAUUGUUCCGGGACAACUGCCAUGAAGAGUUUUCUCACCAGUUGCCCACAUCAUAGGUUGUCUGUUGUCUGCAACUAAUAACCCCAAAUAAUACAGCAUGAACUCUAGCUGAUCAAGGAGCUUUUGCUUGGGAGCAGAGUGGCCCAGCGAAGCAAGGAAUGGAUGGGCUGCUGAGUCUGAGUUGCGUAGUGUACUUGCUACAGAGAUCUUCCACAAACAACAGCGGAGACACAAGAUAAAAAGAAUCUGGAUUACCAAACCACCAUGUGGAGGACAGCCACAAAUUUCCUGAAACAUCUACGGUACCCUGUCACUACUGAGUCUCAAACUUCUAUUAGGCUCAACUUGGACUGGUGCAAUGAAUCAAUGCUUGGCUUCAUUUCUUUGUAGCAGAGAACAAAGUUUCUACUUCAUACCUACGUCAUAAUCUUUCAACACUUCUGUAGCAGAGAUGGAAGAGGAGAAGGAGGCCGGGUGGGGAGAGCAAAGCUGGAAUUUGAUUGUUACCUCUCCUAAGAAUACAACGGUUGAAUCACUGCCCUUCAAAUUACGAAAAAAAAUUUUCAAAAAUAGAAGCAUGUGCUGUUCUGAUGAAGUGGGAGUUCCAAAUUCCAAUUUGACUCCCAUAUUUUCAGAGUUAAA